CUUUUUGGUGGAAUGGCUUUGUGCCUUGCACACUACUACACACAAAUAAACUCUAGCUUAGUUUUGUAAUAUAUAUAUAUAUUUAGAAGCUAGGGUUUGUGAGUGUACGUAGUAGUAGCCAUUGUAGCCAACCUUCGGGUUUGGAUUUAUAGCACCCUUCGAGGUAUUUAUCAAUAUACAGAUAUACCUUGGAAAAUAUUGUGUGUUGGUUUAAUAUUUUCAUAUCCUCAGAAACCGACCCAAUAAAUAUCCGGAACACGAAACCCAUUACAGGACUGCAAUUGUUUAUCCGCAAGAUUCGAAAGAAUUUUAAAUUGUAGUGAGUAUCGUAUUCAACCCCCCUUCUACGAUACUUUGGACCUAACACGUUGCAAUCAAAAAAUAAAACAAUUAUUUUAUAAAUUACUAAACACUAUAUAUGUUCUAAAAUAUAACUCAUAAGGAAAAUAAUGAUCUUAAUGAUUGUUAUAGUUGAAAAAUGUUAAUGAUUAAUUAGUAAUUAUAUUCAAAACAACUUAAAAAUGAUAAAUUAUAUAUAUAUUUGAAUAAUUAAAAAUAUUAUUUACGACUAAACUAAAUGAUUAUAACCAGUACUUACUACAGCUUAAAUGUGGAUUUUAUGGAACUUAACUCUAACAAUAUGUUUUAUUUUAGUAAAAUCAUUAUAUUGUUUGAUGAUUUUUAAAUUGUGAAGAUAAUUUUCAAGAUCAACACAUUUAAUCUCGAAUAAAAUUCAAAUUUAUACAUUGUAAUUGUUAUAUUCAAUCUAAUAGACAAACGUUAUAUAUAAUUAUAUUUGGAGUUUUUUAGAUAUAACGAUGGUGUUAUAGUUGUUUGACAAACUAAUAUUGUAGUUUGACAAAGUUAAUUAGCUUUCCAAAACUAAUUUGAUAUCAAAUUUUUUGACAGAUGUCUGUGUUUCCAUUCUUUUAUUAUAUGUUGCAAUAUGGACAAUGGUAUCAUUCUCUUCGAGUUUCUGUUGUCAUGUCAGUGUUAUCACCGCCUUAUUCAUCUCUAUCACAAUCUUCUGAAGAGCACGGAAUUUAUUAAAAUUUAUAUUAAUAAUUUGUAAUUGUUUUAGAUUUAUAAUAGGUAUGUGUAAUGUUAUUUAAUUUGUAAUUGUUUUAGAUUUAUAAUAGGUAUGUGUAAUGUUGGUUGGAGUUCUUGCACAUCUAGGACUGGUAGUUGUUUGUAUGACAAAUUAAUAUAGAAGUCGAAAAAAAAAAUUUAAGUUAAAUAACUUAAAUAUGUUUUAUAGAUAAAAUUCGCAAUAAAUAAUAAAAUAACAAAAAAACAAAAAAAUAAUAAAUUUUUUUAGCCUAUUUUUUUAUUUUAUGUUCUCAUAUCCAGAGAAAAACUCUACCGACUCCUUAUAUUUAUUUGAUAUGAAUUUUAUUAUGAUGGAUGUUUUAUGUUUUGAUUCUUUUAUUAUAUGUUGCAAUAUGGACAAUGACUUCAUUCUCUUCGAGUUUUCGUUUGUCAAGUCAGUAUUAUCACCGCCUUAUUCAUUUUUAUAGCAAUCUUCUAAAGAGUACAGAAUGAAUUAAAAUUUAUAUUAAUAAUUUGUAAUUGUUUUAGAUUUAUAAUAGGUAUGUGUAGUGUUAUUUAAUUUGUAAAUUUUCUAGACUUAUAAUAGGUAUGUUAGUUGGUUGGAGUUCUUGCACAUUUAGGAGUGGUAGUUGUUUGUAUGACAAAUUAAUAAAGAAGUCAAAAGAAAUUUUUAAGUUAAAUAACUUAAAUAUGUUUUAUAGAUAAGAUUCGCAAUAAAACAAAACAAUAAUAGAGUUUUCUAGCCUAUUUUUUAUUUUAUGUUCUCAUAUCCGCACAAAAAAUUAAUAUAUGAUGACCAAAUGUUGGUACUUGUACCGAUUUUCCACCAAAACGUGGUUUCGCUUAUUAAUAAAAGGUAUUGAUGAAGCCGUGCAAAAACUCUGACUCGAGCAUCCGAAAGUUCUAGUUCUAUCAUGAACUUUGUCACCGAUGCAUAGAUUCAUCUGAAGUUCACAAUGCUACUUGUGUCAGUAUUUGAACAAAUUUUUUUUGUUUGAGAGUUAUUUGUAAUAGAAUUUAAACACUAGAAAUUGUACAAAUAUUUCCAUAGAAUUUUAGCAGUACUAUAAGUUAACAAACUUUUUUUAAAUGUGAAGUAGUUAGAAAGAAGUUAGGAGGAGGAAUUAUCACAAUUUUGGUUCAGUUAUAUAAAGGUUUCGCACACUCAGAACAAACACUUUCCCAGCAAGCAAAUUAAAUAUCCAAUAUGAUCUUUGGGUCCUGUGGAGAUGGUGUGGACCUGUUAACUGGCACAUAGUGUUUUUGCCGUUAGAUGAAUAUCAUGUUGUCAGGAUUAUAACACAUCUUUAAUAUAUCAAGCGUUCCGGUGUUUUUUUUUUUUUUGAAAAAAUGACCCCAUUCACCGUUUAAGUGCCGGACGAGUUCCUGUCCACCGCUUAAAAAAUGCCGAACAUAAUUCGUUCGGCGCUCAAAAGCUAAACAAAUUAAAAAGAAUAUUAUAAUCCCGACAGCUGGAUAUACAUUCUUUGACGGUUAGAAAACUAUGCGCGGGUUAACAAUAUUGUAAGCUACUUGUCAUAUUUUGUUCUGUUAACAGUAUAAUAAUAACAGCAUAACACUAAAUAAUACUGAUGCAGAUGAAGAUUUCCAUACAGAUAUACAAUAACUAUAAUAUGUAUGUACAACUAAUAAGGGAAUCUACCUGUUGCAAAGAACAUGAACAACUUAAACUCUCAAGUCUGAAAUUUCAAAAAGUCUGCAUACAUGCAUCAAUUUAAACAAGUGGAACAACAUUUAGGUGGUUGAACUAGCUGUUGUUGAUCUGCUUACCCAAUUUGCAGUAACAGAAUUCGGUGAAAGAAUUUGAGAUUCAUCCUUUAACAACGAAGAAUCAUCACCAAGAACAUCCGUCUUAACAGUACCAUAGUAUUUACUCUGAAUUCCCAAUAAAACUUCGUAUACUUUUUUCAUUGUUGGCCUGAACUCCCUCCCAUUUUGCAGGCAUUGAAAGGCCAGCUCUGCCACUUCUGUUAUCAUGUUCCGUAUGUCAGAAUCUGUUGCAAAUCCAAGAUUUGUAUCCACAAGUUCUUGCAGCGCGC
rnacentral:lncRNA from 1 species